ACUGCAAAUGUCUCCCAAAGUUGGGCCAAACCUUCAGUCAAGUAUUACAUAAGAUAAACCAUUUUUUCUCAGUGGGGCAUCUUUCAGACUGUGUGGAUAGAAAACAUCUGAUAGCUCCUGCAGAGAGUUUUGCUAACUUAUAUUUCAAAAACGCUCCUCUGCCUGGCCUACUUUUCUGCCUUUAGGGGUAUAGUAACGAAGGCCGCUUCAAAAGUUGGCAACUCAAUAUAUCCUUCAAGCCCAAUUCCAAAUGCCUGCAUGACAAGGAAUGAUAACACUGGCUUAGCGUGUUUGUGUGUCUGAGUAAGCAGCAACAAACUGGAUACAUAUUCAAAGAUGUAACAUUCAAGAUUAUUUGGCUAUCAGCUCAUAAUUUAUAUUAAUAGUGAUAUUGGGGACUGAAGCUCUUAAGAAAAAAACUUUCAUCAAAUUAUUAGAUCAGGACAUUGCCAGGAACAAUCUGCAGAAAUACACACUGGUUCAAUUAGAAAGGAAAUAUUUGAGGUGAGAGUUCUAAUGUAUGCAUGUCCAUGAAGGCAUUUGUUCUCUUUUCUGCAUAUCCUUUGCAGUUAUUUCUUUCAAAAAUUACAGAGUUCAUGCUACGGAAUACUUCCUAGCCGCCGUAAUCAAUUUUAUUGAGGAGCUAAACAGAACAAUAAGAUUCUCUAACAACUGGGGCACAUCCUAGCUCUCGUCAGCAGAAAAUGUAAGCUAGGGCAAACCCUUUUCAUCUUUUAGCGAGGGUCCAUUAUUCCUCUCUCUCUCUCUCUCUCUCUCUCUCUCUCUCUCUCUCUUCUGUGCUUUAUGAAAAAGUUCGUAUAGUAAAUAAUGAUCGACUGUGUUGCCGUCCUUUGUUCUUUUGCCAAGCUCCUUUUAGCUUUGGCAGCAAUUCUGUUUUCCCUGUCAUCAUCUAAUGUCUAUUUAUUUUACAUGGCUACAAAGCCAGUGAAAUUCCCUCUUAAAUCCCAGGUUGCAAAGAUGAAGAAGCAAUUCAAUUCCUUUUAUUAAAAUUCUCCAGUGUACUCUCUCCUCCAUCCACCUCCUAAUUAGGUUCAGAAAGGGUCAUCCAUUUGAAAAGCUUCUGGAGAGGCCUUGGCUGAAUGAACAGGUCAUGCACACAACAUUGCUGAGCAGCACUGAAAUACCAAAGGGCUUGGGGUAACCCUCCUUCCCAUGCCAGCCGCUGGCCUGGUCUUCGCCACACUCGCUUCUCUGUCUCCAUCUCUUUCUCUCUCUCUCUCUCUCUCGCUCACAGUACAUGGCUCAUUACCUAAAGAAAUAACUCACGUCGCAAAAGGAAUGUAAAAAUAGGAUCUCUAGGCAGGAUACAAGUGGAUUCAAAUUGCAGUUACGAAAGAGGGAAAGUUUGGGACGAGCAACUGGUUUGCCAGGGAUGACCACAGCAGAAUUCUCAAGCUUCCAUGAGGUGAAAGAAAAACACUUUUGCUUGUCGCAUGUGGCUUGUGUGCCCAACUUUACAUUCGUGGAAGGCUGCUUGGUGGCCACCAUGUUUGCAAUCUCUUGAGUAACCUGGUACUCUAAUGAUUGGCCUGGGAGACACAAGUCACUGGUCACCAGUAUGAUUUUAUUUAUUCAUCUGGAGCAUUCAUAGAGCACUUUUUAAUGUGAUGAUUUCAAGGUAGCAUACAAAAAUUAUAAAGAAGCAGCAAUAUGGUCAUAACAAUUUCCCCUCCAGAAAGAAAGAAAGAAAAUAAUUAGUCAGAACGUCUAAAAUUUAAUAUGUACUUAAAAUUCUGGGUGCCUAAAAGAUCAAAAAGGUUGUUGCUAUGCAUAUAUCUCCUUGGGGUGGAAAUUCAUAGCCUUCUACUUAAAUAUUUACGACAGUAUCCAUCAAAGUAGUUCCAUUAGUGUAAGGAUUUCUGUUUGCACAACAGAACUUCCCUUUCCUCUCCUCUCUUCACAUGCCCUUGUGCACUCCCCAGAUCUGCUCCAUAGGGUUGGAGAAACCCCCAUAACUGGUUUAGGGGAACAGAAAAUGAAAGGGGAUUUCUUCUAAGCAGCCAGAAGUCCCUGUGCUAACACAAACUACUUUGUAGGAUAUCACCUUUACUAUAUAUAGUGUUCCACACUUUUGAUCUUAGGGGAUCCCCAAGGUGGCCUACAAAGCGAAUUAAGAAGAGCAAGAUACAAAAUAGCAAAACAAAUAUAGAGCAG